AGGGCUGCACGAUACUGGAAAAAUCUGACACUGAAAUUUUUUUAACCCUGCGAUAUACAUUGCGAUAUGAAAAACUAUUCAGGAGGAUGUAAUAGCUGUGUAGUGUGGACGUAAAUGGUCAAACAAAUUAGCUGUGUUUCCUCUCGUUGUGGUGACAGUUCCCAGUUAUUAUCG